rnacentral:rRNA from 1 species
ACAGCAGUAGCCGCGGUAACACGGAGGGUGCAAGCGUUAAUUGGAAUUACUGAGCGUAAAGCGCACGCAGGCGGUCUGACAAGUCAGAUGUGAAAUCCCCGGGCUUAACCUGGGAACUGCAUUUGAAACUGUCAGGCUGGAGUCUUGUAGAGGGGGGUGGAAUUCCAGGUGUAGCGGUGAAAUGCGUAGAGAUCUGGAGGAAUACCGGUGGCGAAGGCGGCCCCCUGGACAAAGACUGACGCUCAGGUGCGAAAGCGUGGGGAGCAAACAGGAUUAGAUACCCCUGUAGUCCCUGUCUCUUAUAC